AGCAAUAUAUAAUACAAAAAUAUACUGGAUGGAUUUCCCCUGAUGCGUCAGGUCAGAGAUUAUCACCGCGGAGUUGAUGAUCACCGGGUGAAGCUAAAAUUACUCACAGGUGAGUCGGCCGCGGGAGCUAAGCAGAUGAGCCGGCCCGGUGUUGUAAACCGGCGCGGACGAGCAAAUUGUCCUCUACGUUGUAGACCGGCGCGGAAGCGUGAAACGGCCGCGAGGGUGGACGGGCGAGUUGUCCGUGUCGCUGUGAACCGGUGCGACCACGAGAGACGGCCACGGCGUUGUAAAUCGGCGCGGGAGUUCGCCGAGUAACGAUGACCACCCGUGCCAAAAGAUAUUGGGCUGCCUCCAUCUCCGAGGUAUAAUAUCAUUUUUUUUGUCAUAAAUAAUUGCCCUGCAUAAACAAUAUUGUAGACCAAGGCAAAAGAUAAACUUGUUUUUUGACAAAACAACAUUUGCUAAUAAAACAAACUUGGAUGGAUAUCACCUGAUUUGUUUGAACGAGGGACAAUCCGUUUUAUCGUGACAGAGGCGAUUCUGGCAGAGACUACUUGGGGCGUUCAGCGACCCGGAGCAGAAAUAGAGUUGAGGCCACGCAACAGAGGCGGGGGCGGCUCAGCUGCACGGUCGGAGCAGUGAGGUAGAUCCGCGAAGGUGGCUUAGCGAUGGUAGUACAGCCCACUCAGCCUCGGACGACCAACACCGCCUUGCCCUGCUCACUGUCGAUAGUGCGAUGCAAACACAACCAAAUAGUUAGUAUUAAAAAGAAAUUACUGUAUGGUAAUAAUACCUUGCAAGCUUUUCUUGAAAGCGAAUCUGCAUGCUUGAUGUGAUUGUAAAUAGAACCGCUCACCAGCGUCUCCCGCACCACGGCUCAAGGCAGUGGCGGCGCUGGGGUCUUCCUGGGUAUUCCCUGGAAUACACAAGAUUUAGGUCCAAAAAAGUAUCAAUAUACACAUCUAAUACUGGCCCAGCCCAAGCAGAGGACAGUCACGCAGCGAACCAGACGUCCAGACGUGCGUCUGGCUGUACGCGCGGGCGAAGCGAGGAACCUAUCGACAGCGACCAAUUUCAAUCUCCCUUCCCCUCCCCCGAUUCCUCCCAAACCUAGCGCCUAGCAGCCGGGCCGCGGCAGCAGCGGCGGAUCAAGUCCGGCCGGCCCUCUCCUUCCCUCCCCUCGGUGGAUCCAGAUCCAGUACUGCCACUCCGCCCCUCCCCUCCCCGAACUGUCUCCUACUCUCCUUCUCCUCCGCCUCUGAGUCUGAGAUCCGGCCGGCCUCCAGUGCUCUGUCGACGGCUCCACUGCUGACCGUCUCGGCGUCUCCUCCAGCAGACCAGCACUGCAGCACAGCUCCAGUUCUCCACCAAGAUGAAGAAGAAAGAUUUUAGCUUGUUUGAAUUGUGGGACAAAUCUUCAAAGGCAAGGAAAAUAAGUUCUGCAUCCACACCAACUGCUUUUUCCGUUGAGGUUGAGAGCAAUCUACAGCUAGCACUACUGUUUUUUCUGUGUUGUUUGGUUCAUAUGCCUCAUUUAGAGCAAAAAAAAAUUUUGGAUGAAUACCCAGCCAUCAUUUCCUGGCGCCGCCACUGGCUCAAGGCGCAAGGCAACAACAGCAAUCAGGCGGCGCGGCAUAAUCCGCACGGGCGGCUUAGUGGCCGGAGGAGCAGAAGCAAACGGUAGACCGGUAGUGCUUGAGGCGGAGGCGCAGGGCAACAGCUGAGGCAUCCGCGUGGCCGGGCGGCUCAACGCCGGUCGCGGCGGCUCGAACAAGGCAAACCACAUAGGCGGCGCGGAGCUGGCGUAGGGAUUGCGGAGGUCGGGCUCGAUCAACAAGUUGGAGGAGCAGCGGCCACUCAGGGCAGCACACGAUAGCCUCCGCAGCAGAUACGGCUCAGAUGGCCCCGGCAAAUCCGCAACGGAGGAGCGGACCGGUGAUGCUCCGGCGGCGGGGGGAGCGAAGAGGCCGUAGGGGCAAGCCUCGGGGGGAUCGACCACGGCGGCUCAGAGGCCACGCCUGGCAAGGAAGGCAGCGCGGAAACCGGGUCAACUCUGUAUUCACUUCUAGAUUCUUUUUUUUUUUUUCUUCACGUGAGGGCAAAUCCGUGUCUCUGUCUGUUUCUAACUGUCUUCUACGAGAAAACUUAAGCCGCCGUGACUCGAAGUAGCUUUCCUUCCUGGCACUUGACGUCUUGGCGGAAAUUGCGAUUGAA